rnacentral:rRNA from 1 species
AUUGAACGCUGGCGGCAGGCUUAACACAUGCAAGUCGAGCGGAGUGAUGGUGCUUGCACUAUCACUUAGCGGCGGACGGGUGAGUAAUGCUUAGGAAUCUGCCUAUUAGUGGGGGACAACAUCUCGAAAGGGAUGCUAAUACCGCAUACGUCCUACGGGAGAAAGCAGGGGAUCACUUGUGACCUUGCGCUAAUAGAUGAGCCUAAGUCGGAUUAGCUAGUUGGUGGGGUAAAGGCCUACCAAGGCGACGAUCUGUAGCGGGUCUGAGAGGAUGGUCCGCCACACUGGGACUGAGACACGGCCCAGACCCCUACGGGAGGCAGCAGUGGGGAAUAUUGGACAAUGGGGGGAAGCCUGAUCCAGCCAUGCCGCGUGUGUGAAGAAGGCCUUAUGGUUGUAAAGCACUUUAAGCGAGGAGGAGGCUCUUUUGGUUAAUACCCAAGAUGAGUGGACGUUACUCGCAGAAUAAGCACCGGCCAACUCUGUGCCAACCGCCGCGGUAAUAC